rnacentral:rRNA from 1 species
AGGACGAACGCUGGCGGCGUGCUUAACACAUGCAAGUCGAGCGGUGAUCCUCCUUCGGGAGGUGAUCAGCGGCGAACGGGUGAGUGACACGUGGGCAACCUGCCCCUCACACUGGGAUAACCUCGGGAAACCGGGGCUAAUACCGGAUACGACCUCGAGCGGCAUCUCUUGAGGUGGAAAGCUCCGACGGUGAGGGAUGGGCCCGCGGCCUAUCAGCUUGUUGGUGGGGUAAUGGCCUACCAAGGCGACGACGGGUA